rnacentral:rRNA from 1 species
UUCGAUGGAUGUCUCGCCUCGGACAACAAUGAAGGGCGCAGCCAACUGUGAUAACCUUCGUGAAUUGCAGAAUUCCUUGAAUCAAUAGAGCUUUGAACGUGUUUUGUGCUUUUGGGAUAUACCUGAAAGCAUGCCUGCUUUGGUGUCUAUUAUUUUUA